rnacentral:rRNA from 1 species
CCUACGGGAGACAGCAGUGGGGAAUAUUGCGCAAUGGGCGAAAGCCUGACGCAGCGACGCCGCGUGAGGGAUGAAGGUCUUCUGAUCGUAAACCUCUGUCAGCAGGGAAGAACGGUCACUGUGCUAUUCCGCAGUGACUUGACGGUACCUGCAAAGGACGCACAGGCUAACUCCGUGCCAGCCGCCGCGGUAAUACGGAGGGUGCGAGCGUUAAUCGGAAUUACUGGGCGUAAAGCGCUCGUAGGCGGUAUGUCAAGUCAAGUGUGAAAUCCCCGGGCUCAACGUGGGAACUGCCUUUGAAACUGGCAGACUGGAGUGUGGGAGAGGAGAGUGGAAUUCGAGGUGUAGGAGUGAAAUGCGUAGAUAUCUGGAGGAACAUCAGUGGCGAAGGCGACUAUCUGGCACAUAACUGACGCUGAGGAGCGAAAGCGUGGGUAGCAAACAGGAUUAGAUACCCGGGUAGUC